rnacentral:rRNA from 1 species
GACGAACGCUGGCGGCGUGCUUAACACAUGCAAGUCGAACGGAAAGGCCCUUCGGGGUACUCGAGUGGCGAACGGGUGAGUAACACGUGGGUGAUCUGCCCUGCACUUUGGGAUAAGCCUGGGAAACUGGGUCUAAUACCGAAUAGGACCACGCGCUUCAUGGUGUGUGGUGGAAAGCUUUUGCGGUGUGGGAUGGGCCCGCGGCCUAUCAGCUUGUUGGUGGGGUAAUGGCCUACCAAGGCGACGACGGGUAGCCGGCCUGAGAGGGUGACCGGCCACACUGGGACUAAGAUACGGCCCAGACUCCUACGGGAGGCAGCAGUGGGGAAGAUUGCACAAUGGGCGCAAGCCUGAUGCAGCGACGCCGCGUGAGGGAUGACGGCCUUCGGGUUGUAAACCUCUUUCAAUAGGGACGAAGCGCAAGUGACGGUACCUAUAGAAGAAGCACCGGCCAACUACGUGCCAGCCGCCGCGGUAA